rnacentral:lncRNA from 1 species
AUUCAGACUCAUACUGUUGUACCUCAUCCACCCACCUUUCUAUUCUCUCUCUCUUUUUGCCCUAUUCAAUAGGGUUUCCGUAUGACUUCUUGUUAGCCAAUUUUCUGAUGCAAUCAGUUGUUCAAGCUCUAUUGAUCGUGUUUCUAUUUGUUGAUCUGUCAAUUUUUGCUCUCAAAAGAGGGGUUUUUGGGCUUGGGCUGUGCAGAUUCUACCCCCCUUGUGUUUUUCAACAGUACUCAUGUCUAAAGUCUUCAAUUUUAGUGGUAUGUUCUUGAUCCUUUUCUGGGUUUUGCUUUAAAAUUCAAUCUGUAU